UACGUAGGGUUCAAGCGUUCUCCGGAAUCACUGGGCGUAAAGCGUGCGUAGGUGGCGUGUUAAGUGCAAUGCGAAAUCCUGUGGCUCAACCAUAUGCACUGUAUUGCAUACUGGCAUGCUAGAGGACGGCAGAGGCAAGUGGAAUUACCGGUGUAGCAGUGAAAUGCGUAGAGAUCGGUAGGAACACCAAUGGCGAAGGCAGCUUGCUGGGCCGACCCUGACGCUAAGGCACGAAAGCGUGGGGAGCGAACAGG
rnacentral:rRNA from 1 species